rnacentral:lncRNA from 1 species
ACAGCAGGCAAUGUGUGUUAGCGCUGCCGCAGUGUAACGUAGAGCACUGCGAAAAACCGGAGAAAGCGAGACGACGCAGCCCGCUGAAAGUGGGAGAUCAAGCGAAGCGGCGUCGACAACCGAUGCGCGUAUACAGAGAGUGAGAGCGGGACCGCACAAAAGCAGAGAAUGCCGCCAAAGACCCAGAGUCCGAGAAGAAACGUAGGCGUCUGCAAGCGCCGGAAGAUCGAGCGGAGAGGCGUCUAUAGCAGAAGCGUGAACACAACUUUUCUGGUAAUACAUCGCCAUAUGAAGUUUGACGGAGAGGUAUUACCAUAUCUGUAUCCCGGUUACCAGCAGCUGAGUCUGAUGUCAGGUCAAGUGUGCCGUUACACAAGCCAGUGCGCAUACGGGAUGUGCUGCUUGCUAAGGGGGCCACCGCCACCAACUUGCCAGAACUUCGGUUUGCGAAAUCAGCCAUGUAGCGUCCUCGCCAUUGGCGGAGUCUAUCGUGGACACUGCCCCUGCCGAGACCGUUUGAGAUGCAUGGGCCACGUGUGUAUGCUACCACCAGGAAGGGUCCACGAAUAGACACCCUCGUUUUAAGGAAUCGUGUCGUAGUUCGAACUAAUAAACCAUAUGAUUGUAUUUUUUAACUCAAGUGAGUUAGGAUGGAUGGAAACAACUUUAUUUAAAGUCCGCCGAAGUUUAAUAUCCAGGGCUCAGGUCUCCCUUGAGGGGACUUCGAGGUCUUGCCUCAACGUCGUCUCGUGAGCCCGCUGAACUGCCCAUUCUUGUGUCUUGAAGUUGUAGCUGCGCAGAGCAGCUGCCCACUUCGGCGCGAGAGCAUCCGGAGCUACUGCCAUUUUAGCUGCUAUGAUAGGGCACUCUCAUAACGUGUGAGAGCGUCGCACGAGCUGCCUGGCAUAAUUUGCAAGUAGCAUUCUGGUACUGCGCAAGAAAAAUAUGCCGCAAUGGCACCGGACUGGGUAACGUGCGUGCCUGCAGCUGUCGCCAGACGACUGCCUGGCGUCGUUUUAACUUGGGCUGAGGUGGGGGCAAUAUCCGCCUGCCUAACUGGUGCUUGGUGAUGUCAUUGUACCUGACUAAGCGUUCUCGCAUGUUUUCAACCAUAAGUCCGAACUCGACGGGGCGGUAUUGUAUUCUGCGCGGGGGGGGGGGUCAUUUCUCGCGCAUGGCGGUGUGUCACCUCGUUCGAAUUAGAUGGGCCCUCGUCGGUGGGGGUGGUGACGUGUUCUGGGAACCAUAGGAUAGCGGCGCUAUGGAACUGCUGUCGGCCAGCCAUCCUUAGGAUAUGGAGAUCUUCGGAAGAAAUGCGCCCUCGCGCGUAGUUAAGGACUGCGGUUUGUGAGUCACGAAGAACAGCAUCGCAGAUGGGGUCGGUAAGCGCAAGCGCAAUCGCAACCUCUUCCGGUGUGUCUCAAUAUUUCGUGCUGACACUACACGCGUGCGUAAGCCGGGAGUUAACAUCCACAACUACUGCCGUGAGCCGGUGAUUGUGUGCCUAUUCUGCCACGUCCACGAAGCGUGCAGUCUUCUCCCCACCGAAGCAGCUCAGCAGUGCCUUUGCACGAGCCUGGUGUCGGCCCCCGUUACGUUCGGGGUGCAUAUUUGGAGGGAGAGGGGCAACUAUUAGCGUGUCGCCGAUGUCGUGUGGAAUGGCCUCUUUUUGACCGUGUUGGACAUGGUAAUUCAGGCCGAGUUUCUGCAGGAUCUGCCGACCCGUGGCUGUCAGGGACAUGCGUUCGAGUUGCGAGACUCUUUGCGCAUCCGCUAUUUCCUCAAGCAUGUUGUACACCCCCAGCUGUAGCAGACGAGUGCUGCUCGUGGACACUAGCAGGCCGAGGGCGAUCUUGUAUGUCUUGCGUAUAAGGGUGUUGAGUUUCUCCCUUUCGGUGACAGUCCAGUUGUGGAAGACAGCCACAUAAGUAACGUGACUGAUUGCGAAUAAGUGUGUGAGGCGCAUGACGCUGUCCUCCUUCAUCCCCGUGUGCUUGUUUGUAAUUCGUUUAUCAGGCGGGUAGCCGCUGUAACCUUGCCUUCGAUUUUGCGGAUGCCAUUGAUCAAUAAGUUGAUUUAUGACUCAGUUUUUUUUGCGCCAGAUUAAUAUGUACAAAGACGAAGAAAGGCGAAAUGUGCAAAAACUAACUUCCAACUCAGGUUUAUUCGAACGGGCGUGACUAUAAAUGCAGAAUGACCGUCAUCAUAAACAAAUAUUUUAAAAAAUUAUACAAAAAUUAUACAACAAAGAGGAAAAUGCACACGAUAUAGGACGUAACGGCGACGCUUGAAACAAAGUACCCGAGGCGCUGACUACGGUGGAAGCCACAGCCACCCCUCUCCCUCAGAUAGUUCAUUCCGAUAACGCUACUCAGGGUGUGCUGGAGCAUCUGUUCCCUAGACGUGAUAUUUCGGGCGGUUCGAUAAUUUCCCUUACUUUGUCUUUUCGAUAUCAUGCAAUUAAUUCCCAUGUAAUUAAUUACCAUGAUUUCAUGUGAUCACUCUUUUUCGCGUAAUUUUUGUCAUGUGUUUUGGUAAGAUAAUCGUCGUUCUCUACUUAUUGUCGCGUUCAUUCUAAUAAAACUCAUGAAGA